AUUUGUUUCCCCAGCCAUAUCCUGCAAAUGAGAGUUCUAAACUUGUCUCUGAGAGGGUGGAUGACUAUGAACAUGCAGCCAAGUACAUGAAGAACAGUCAAGUAAAGUUACCUUUGGGAACCUUAAGUAAAUCAGAAUGGGAAGCUACAAGUAUUUACUUGGUGUUUGCCUUUGAGAACAGCAGUGAGCACAGGCAGUAGUCCCAGAGGGGCCAUGUUCUGCCUGCACGGAUGUGAACAACUCAUCUCGAUAUAUUUGACAUUUCUCUGUCUGUUGAUUUUAAUUCUAAAUGUGCAGGAUGCUGCCAGAAACUGCAGUGCAGAAAUUCAGCAUUUGCUGUCUGUGACAGAUGAACUUUUGCAUGUGUAUAUAAGAAUGAAUUGGGACCUCUGUCUUAAAAAAUCUAUUUUUAGGUAAUGUUCUAAGAAUUCCAUUUGCCUCUAUGAUCUUAGCUCAUACAAAUAUAAUAUGACUUGUUAAAGCAACUAAACUCUUUCCUCAGUGCUCAGAUUUGUCCUGUGUGCGUCUACAGUAUUCAAUUUAUUGCAGUUGUAGAAUUGGUCAGAGAGCAUUUUCAUAGUAUGUUCAUUUCUAUGGUUUUGUUAUAUAGCAUUUUUCAAGAUUUAAUGGUCUGUACAGUUGAAUGUAAGUGUUCAAUAUGUAUUGUUCAAGUUAAAAGUUUAGAACUCAAUUUCAGAUGUUCAUGAAAGUUGCUUAGCUGAAAUUUUAGCAAUGUAUUGCAUUUUGAAAUAAUCAUUAACAUGCCACAAUUCAGGAGCUGGUUAGAACAUUUUAAGUGGCAGCAUAGAAUUUUGGAAUUUGGGGGCUUUCUUUUGAGAAUUUACUACCACAGCAAUUAAUGUUUCCAGUUACCAAGAUUGUGAUUAGACACAUUUACCUUUCUUCAUUGAACAAAUGGUGCCAUAGUUAUUUUUCUCAAAAUUUAGUGAAAAUCCCUCCCAUGUAAACAUGUUGCACAUUUUUUCCAAAUUUAUAGAUAGAACUGCAUUAGGAAUAUUCUCACCAACUGAUGCUGUGUACCCACUUCAGCCCAGAAAUAAGCAAUACCUGUUCUUCUGUUACAGCCUCAGCACUUUGCACCAUACGAGCCAUUGUUAAAAUUGUCACUUGUAUAAUUGACUGCUUUUCCAAAA